rnacentral:rRNA from 1 species
CCUACGGGCGGCAGCAGUGGGGAAUAUUGGACAAUGGGGGGAACCCUGAUCCAGCCAUGCCGCGUGUGUGAAGAAGGCCCUCGGGUUGUAAAGCACUUUCAGUGAGGAAGAACGCCUGGUGGUUAAUACCCAUCAGGAAAGACAUCACUCACAGAAGAAGCACCGGCUAACUCCGUGCCAGCAGCCGCGGUAAUACGGAGGGUGCGAGCGUUAAUCGGAAUUACUGGGCGUAAAGCGCGCGUAGGUGGCUUGAUAAGCCGGUUGUGAAAGCCCCGGGCUCAACCUGGGAACGGCAUCCGGAACUGUCAAGCUAGAGUGCAGGAGAGGAAGGUAGAAUUCCCGGUGUAGCGGUGAAAUGCGUAGAGAUCGGGAGGAAUACCAGUGGCGAAGGCGGCCUUCUGGACUGACACUGACACUGAGGUGCGAAAGCGUGGGUAGCAAACAGGAUUAGAUACACCGGUAGUA